UUCUACGUAGCUCAGUUGGUUAGAGCAUGGGGCUGAUAAGGCCACGGUUGCAGGUUCGAAUCCCAUUAUGGGAU